UACGGAGGAUCCGAGCGUUAUCCGGAUUUAUUGGGUUUAAAGGGUGCGUAGGCGGAAAUGUAAGUCAGUGGUGAAAUCCUGCAGCUUAACUGUAGAGUAGCCGUUGAAACUGUGUUUCUUGAGUACAUUUGAGGUAGGCGGAAUGUGGUGUGUAGCGGUGAAAUGCAUAGAUAUACCACAGAACACCGAUUGCGAAGGCAGCUUACUAAACUGUCACUGACGCUGAUGCACGAAAGCGUGGGUAUCAAACAGGAUUAGA
rnacentral:rRNA from 1 species